AGCUCUCCUGUUCUCCUCAGACCUCUGUGUGAGCGGCGGAAGUUUCUUCAUGACAACAUGGUUGAAAUUCCAAACCGGAUCAUGUUCUCAGAAAUGAAGCGAGUCACAAAAGCUUCGGACUUGGCUGACAUGAUAACCCGGGUGAUCCGGGAGGGAUUGGAGGGGCUGGUGCUGAAGGAUGUGAAGGGUACAUAUGAGCCUGGGAAGCGGCACUGGCUGAAAGUGAAGAAAGACUAUUUGAACGAGGGGGCCAUGGCCGACACAGCUGACCUGGUGGUCCUUGGGGCCUUCUAUGGGCAAGGGAGCAAAGGCGGCAUGAUGUCAAUCUUCCUCAUGGGCUGCUACGACCCUGGCAGCCAGAAGUGGUGCACAGUCACCAAGUGUGCAGGAGGCCAUGAUGAUGCCACGCUUGCCCGCCUGCAGAAGGAACUAGACAUGGUGAAGAUCAGCAAGGACCCCAGCAAAAUACCCAGCUGGUUGAAGAUCAACAAGAUCUACUAUCCUGACUUCAUCGUCCCAGACCCAAAGAAAGCUGCCGUGUGGGAGAUCACAGGAGCUGAAUUCU
rnacentral:sRNA from 1 species